ensembl:misc_RNA Metazoa_SRP Metazoan signal recognition particle RNA
GCUGGGUGUGGUGGUGUGCGCCUGUAAUCCCAGCUACUCGGGAGGCUGAGGCAGGAGAAUCACUUGAACCCGGGAGGCCGAGGCUGCAGUGGAGCGCCACUGCACUCCAGCCUGGGUGACAGAGUGAGACUCUGUCUCAA